GCUGGGCGUGGUGGUGCAUGCCUGUAAUCCCAGCUACUCGGGAGGCUGAGGCAGGGGAAUCGCUUGAACCCAGGAGGUGGAGAUUGCAGUGAGCUGAGAUUGAGCCACUGCACUCCAGCCUGGGUGACAGAGCAAGACUCCACCUCAA
rnacentral:SRP_RNA from 2 species